rnacentral:rRNA from 1 species
AGCGAACAUUGGCGGUAGGCUUAACACAUGCAAGUCGAGCGAGGCGUAAUAGUCGAGCGGCGAACGGGUGCGUAAUACAUGGGAAUCUACCUCGAAGUGGGGGAUAACGUCCAGAAAUGGACGCUAAUACCGCAUAAUCCAUAUUGGGAAAGCGUUGCAGCGCUUUGAGAUGGGCCCAUGGCUGAUUAGCUAGUUGGUGAGGUAAUGGCUCACCAAGGCGACGAUCAGUAGCUGGUCUGAGAGGAUGACCAGCCACACUGGAACUGAGACACGGUCCAGACUCCUACGGGAGGCAGCAGUGGGGAAUCUUGCGCAAUGGGGGCAACCCUGACGCAGCCAUACCGCGUGAGUGAUGAAGGUCUUCGGAUUGUAAAGCUCUUUCGGCGGGGACGACGAUGACGGUACCCGCAAAAGAAGUCACGGCUAACUUCGUGCCAGCAGCCGCAGUAA